rnacentral:rRNA from 1 species
CUACGGGUCGCAGCAGUGGGGAAUAUUGCACAAUGGGGGAAACCCUGAUGCAGCCAUGCCGCGUGUAUGAAGAAGGCCUUCGGGUUGUAAAGUACUUUCAGCAGUGAGGAAGGGUGAUAAAUUAAUACUUUAUCAUUUUGACGUUAGCUGCAGAAGAAGCACCGGCUAACUCCGUGCCAGCAGCCGCGGUAAUACGGAGGGUGCGAGCGUUAAUCGGAAUUACUGGGCGUAAAGCGCAUGCAGGUGGUCUGUUAAGUCAGAUGUGAAAGCCCGGGGCUUAACCUCGGAAUCGCAUUUGAAACUGGCAGGCUAGAGUACUGUAGAGGGGGGUAGAAUUGCAGGUGUAGCGGUGAAAUGCGUAGAGAUCUGAAGGAAUACCGGUGGCGAAGGCGGCCCCCUGGACAGAUACUGACACUCAGAUGCGAAAGCGUGGGGAGCAAACAGGAUUAGAUACCCUCGUAGUC